ACUAGUCAAGUCAGCCACACCUAUUUUAAGAUGGUUGCAAUGGAGUGCUCUCGUUUGAGGCUGUGGUUUUUCUGCCUCAAGUUACAGAAGUAUGCAGACUACUACACAACAUACAUUUAAGAGGGUUCGGCCACCCUCGACCAAUAAAGAUCAUGUACUGAAUGCAACUCUAAAGACACUAUGUCACAAGUAUUGCUAGCCUUACCCAAGAAGCUUCUUUUUGGGACUGGUCUGUUAUCAAAAUCCCUGACUCUCCAAUGCAUCAAUGAUGAGUUCCACUUAGAGAAUCUAAAGCUCAAAAGACACUUUACGGCACAAACCUUCAACUAACCUUGCUAAAGAAGCUUCUUUUCGGGACUGGUCUGUUAUCAAAAUCCCUGACUCUCCAAUGCAUUAAUGAUUAGAUCCACUGAGAGAAUCUUAAGGUUAAAAAUGAAAGGCACAUGUAUAGGGACUAAAAUUUAUUGCAAUGAGGCUUAAUCUGGACUUGUCUGGAGCGGCAACUUUAAAGAUAUUAAGUCCAAUAAAAAUAAGUAUGGUGCUCCUCUGAGAUCAUGUUGUUAAGAGACCAGAUUAAUUUGGAGGCUGGAGCAUUUGUGAGCAGAAUUUUAUAUCUUUUGUUUAUUUACUUUAAACAAUUCUUAUGCAUGCUUUUUUGUAAAACAGCUUAUUUCAUGAAACUGAAACUUUAUUGCUUAUACAAUGUAGUACUUACUAUACUUCUCUUUCAUAAUAA
rnacentral:lncRNA from 1 species